GAUGAACGCUAGCGGCAGGCUUAACACAUGCAAGUCGAGGGGUAUAGGUUUUCGGACCUAGAGACCGGCGCACGGGUGCGUAACGCGUAUGCAAUCUACCUUUCACAGAGGGAUAGCCCAGAGAAAUUUGGAUUAAUACCUCAUAGUAUUAUGAAGUGGCAUCAUUUUAUAAUUAAAGUUCCAACGGUGCAAGAUGAGCAUGCGUCCCAUUAGCUAGAUGGUAAGGUAACGGCUUACCAUGGCUACGAUGGGUAGGGGUCCUGAGAGGGAGAUCCCCCACACUGGUACUGAGACACGGACCAGACUCCUACGGGAGGCAGCAGUGAGGAAUAUUGGUCAAUGGACGCAAGUCUGAACCAGCCAUGCCGCGUGCAGGAUGACGGUCCUAUGGAUUGUAAACUGCUUUUGUACGAGAAGAAACACUCCUUCGUGAAGGAGCUUGACGGUAUCGUAAGAAUAAGGAUCGGCUAACUCCGUGCCAGCCGCCGCCGUAAUAC
rnacentral:rRNA from 1 species